rnacentral:rRNA from 1 species
UACGUAGGGGGCAAGCGUUGUCCGGAUUUAUUGGGCGUAAAGAGCGUGUAGGCGGCUAGGUAGGUCCGUUGUGAAAACUCGAGGCUCAACCUCGAGACGUCGAUGGAAACCAUCUAGCUAGAGUCCGGAAGAGGAGAGUGGAAUUCCUGGUGUAGCGGUGAAAUGCGCAGAUAUCAGGAAGAGCACCCGUGGCGAAGGCGGCUCUCUGGUACGUGACUGACGCUGAGACGCGAAAGCGUGGGGAGCGAACAGG